rnacentral:rRNA from 1 species
AUACGUAGGUGGCAAGCGUUGUCCGGAAUUAUUGGGCGUAAAGCGCGCGCAGGUGGUUCCUUAAGUCUGAUGUGAAAGCCCCCGGCUCAACCGGGGAGGGUCAUUGGAAACUGGGGAACUUGAGUGCAGAAGAGGAUAGUGGAAUUCCAAGUGUAGCGGUGAAAUGCGUAGAGAUUUGGAGGAACACCAGUGGCGAAGGCGACUGUCUGGUCUGUAACUGACACGGAGGCGCGAAAGCGUGGGGAGCAAACAGGAUUAGAUACCCUGGUAGUCCACGCUGUAAACGAUGAGUGCUAAGUGUUGGGGGGUUUCCGCCCCUCAGUGCUGCAGCUAACGCAUUAAGCACUCCGCCUGGGGAGUACGGUCGCAAGACUGAAACUCAAAGGAAUUGACGGGG